UAUUGUUGUUGCGUCUUAUUAUAACUCAAAUAUUUUAACCCAUAUGUACAAAAGUGUUGGGCCCAUGUUGAAUUCCUUCUUUCCGAUUCCUUUUCUUUUUCUCGACCCAGCGCACUCCUUAUAUCCCACCCAAACCCAUUUUAUAGAAAAAAGAAACCCAUUCCCGUAAAGGCAUAACAAUAGCAACAUCAUGCAAACACCGUCGGAUAUUCUUCUACUAUAAAAACAACAAUGAAACCCAAAAAAAAUCAAAGCCCUGUCCCGCAGCAACACCAAUUCAUGAUCCAGCCCAAAGCGUCGACCCCAAUCCUCCAACUUUCGUUAGUAGACGGAAGUUACACAGUGCUAUACAAAGAAUAAAGUUUCAGCACGCCUUUUUCUUACUAGUACAAUUUCUCGUACGAACGUGUACAAUUCUUGUGGCCACGAAGCAUGCGUUUUCAUCCUUUGAGGCUCGAGAUUCAGCAACAUUGCCUUCCCAGGUCAAUGGGUCAAUCUCGUCCCUCCCCCUCGCUUUAAAUUCAUUCGAAAUAAUUUCGCAUUGGAAGAAUAAUGGUUUUCCGGAUAAGAUUUUGGAUUUAGAAUUUAUAAUGGGCUUGGGGAAAAUCCGAAUUUUAUCCAUCUUUUUCCAAAAAUCGAAGACCUAAUCCGACGAAAUAUAAGGCGUCUUCCUGUUCUUGAAAGGGGAUUUUUUUUUGGAGAGGGAGAUUUGAGAAAACAUUGAGGGAGUGUUUUGGGAACUAAUCUUCUUCUUUCUUUUAUGGGAUUUUUGCUGGAACAAAGGUUUGUCUUUUGUUGAAAAGAAACAGUGGAAAAAGAUAUAUCUCAUAUAAAGAACAAAAGAAGAAGAAGCAAGUUAGGAUAUUUUUUCAAAGUUGCACUUUGGAAGUGGUGAAGUCGUGGUCUCCUUUGCUUGCCUGGUCCCUGUUUCGCUUUCACAAAGAAGGUAAUAACCUUACUCUCACUCUGUUUUUUUUUUGGCUGAAUGACUGCUCCAUCCCUUUUGAAUACUGGAUUAUAUUCAUGACUAUCAAGCUUAGGAUAUUUGUUAUACGUUGUAAUCUGCAUUGAGCAUGUCUUGAUAUCUCGAGUUCUGUAUUAGUUGUGUUUGUCCGCUUUAAUUUUUUGCUUGUUCUUGAGUAAUAAUUUUUUAUAUGAUGCUAGCUUAGAAUAGUUCUUUUAGUGUCCUUCAUAGUCAUGAUAUCGAUUAGUGUAGUAUAUGGCCUAUUAUUAUAAUAAAUGUGACUAGUACUCUAUUUCCCUCCCUCUUUCUUUUAUUGUUUUUUUUCCAUAUUUUUUUCCAUCUUAUUUUUAUUUUAUUGAUGGUUUUGCAUAUUUCUUUUCACCCUGCCAUCUGUAGACAUGCUUGGAAGACAUAUUAAUGUAGUUGGGCAUUGUAGACAUUUAUAUGUAUAUAUUUGUUAAUCUUAAUUAAAUGUUGUCAUUAUCCAGUAUGCUUUUGUGUGAUUCCCGUUGGUGGAAUCGUGUGUUUAUGCAACUUGUUGUGCCAAAAAAAACAUUUUUUGGGGUUAAUAAUUUUUUUCUCUCCUUGCAUUUUGUAAGUUGGAUUAUGUAGUACUUCUCUUCAUCUACUUUGUGGCAUGUAAAAUCCGCUUGAGUUCUCUACGAACUCUCCUUCUUCACAUUUCGAGAUAUCCAUCAAAGCUCAAAAUUCCUUAUCUAGUUAGCAAGACAUGAAAUCGAUGAACAAGCCCCCAAAUUGAAGAAUCUGGAGACAAUUGAAGAAUUGAAGAUUGGAUCAUUAGGACCCAUAUUUUAUUUUUCCCUUCAAAAUUAUAUUUUUUUUGUUGUUGGGACUAAGACCAUUUGGUUAUUUACAUAUUGUAUUCUUAUAAUUUAAGAUAGGUACAGGUGAAGUGGGCCAAAGGCCUAAACAAACGGUUUGAAAAACCCGAAAGCCCGUGGGUCAAAAUUCCGGUCCAGGCAGACAGAACAUGGGUUUGGGCCCAAAAUA